CAAAAUUCAAAACCAAAUUUGGGCUCUUUUAUUCAAAAUUCAAACCCUAGAAUCACUGUAAACCCUAUCUCCCAAUAAUUCCAUCCACACCGUUCACUUUCCUUCUCACUCUCAUCACCAAUCUCUCGCGCACAGACCAUCUCAGUACCUGGUUAACUUGAAUAUUACAAAUCAAAGAGACAUCAAAAUCAUGGAGAAGAAUAAUAAGAAUGCUCGGAAGCCUCAUAAGCUGAUAUGUUCGAGAAAAGAGAAAAUAACCAGAGACAAGAAAAACUGUGUGUGUGUGUGUGAGAGAGAGAGAGAGAGAGAGAGAGAGAGACGGGAAGGAGUCUCUGGCAAAGGGAACUAGGGUUCUAGCGACAAGAUUCAACAAGGUUGAACAGUGGAGGUAACAGGUGUUCAGGUCUGGAAUUCAGGGUAAAAUAAUUCAGGAUGUUCAGAUAUGGAAUUCUGAACCGAUGGCUUUGAUCUACAUCCCACUUUUAAUUCCAUGAUUUCUGGUCUUCAGAUGGUGAGUGUGAUGCACGAAGGCACUGGUGGUAUAACAAUCUGAUUAUACAGCUGUUAAAGGAUCUGAAGGAGGAGGAAUCUGAAUUGUUAUUCAUACUACUCCCUCAACUCUUAGAUACUACCCCACCAAGCUUCUGCUUCUUCUUCUUCUUCAGAAAGAGGGAGCUGAAUAGCUGAUGGUUUCUUUGCAUCAUAUAUCAUUGGUAACACCACAUGGUUUUCCAUUAUGGUGAUUGGCGGCUUUACAUUAACUAUAGGCUGGUACUCAUUGAGAGUUUGAGACCACGAAUCAGGGAUAAUCUUGACAGGUCAUAAAGCUGGAGCUUCAUAUAUGGAUGAAUGGGUCAAACGGUUCAAACGGGUCAGAUGUGGGUCAUUCAGUCACGUUUAUUUUCUGUUUUAAUGGGUCUAAAUUAUGGGUCUUUUUGCUUGGUUGAGUCAAAAUGUGGGACCAUGGGCUUCGUUGCUAGGGUUGUUUUUAAGUUGUUUUCUACACGUACAAGUGGUGGCGUUUUAGGUAUUAAAAGUCUCGUGAGUCUCAUUGUAUACAAGUUUUGAUUUCAACUUGUGUAUACAUAAUUACAUAUAGUCACUUCAAAUGGUCUACUCACUUCAACAAUCUAUAAAGACACCUUUAUAGCUGCAAUAGGGUCUUGUGAUCUAGGGUUUGAACCGGUGUACAUCUCCAUAUCGCAAUACAAAAGUAGAAUGCAUCUUUUUUUAUUGAA